rnacentral:rRNA from 1 species
CGUAGGGGGCGAGCGUUGUCCGGAUUUAUUGGGCGUAAAGAGCUCGUAGGCGGUUUGGCAAGUCGGGUGUGAAAACUCCGGGCUCAACUCGGAGACGCCACUCGAUGCUGCUAUGACUCGAGUCCGGUAGGGGAGUGCGGAAUUCCUGGUGUAGCGGUGAAAUGCGCAGAUAUCAGGAGGAACACCGGUGGCGAAGGCGGCACUCUGGGCCGGAACUGACGCUGAGGAGCGAAAGCGUGGGGAGCGAACAGGAUUAGAUACCCUGGUAGUCCACGCCGUAAACGUUGGGCACUAGGUGUGGGGCUCGAUCGACGGGCUCCGUGCCGUAGCUAACGCAUUAAGUGCCCCGCCUGGGAAGUACGGCCGCAAGGCUA